GAUGAACGCUGGCGGCGUGCCUAAUACAUGCAAGUCGAGCGAACAGACGAGGAGCUUGCUCCUCUCACGUUAGCGGCGGACGGGUGAGUAACACGUGGAUAACCUACCUAUAAGACUGGGAUAACUUCGGGAAACCGGAGCUAAUACCGGAUAAUAUAUUGAACCGCAUGGUUCAAUAGUGAAAGACGGUUUUGCUGUCACUUAUAGAUGGAUCCGCGCCGCAUUAGCUAGUUGGUAAGGUAACGGCUUACCAAGGCAACGAUGCGUAGCCGACCUGAGAGGGUGAUCGGCCACACUGGAACUGAGACACGGUCCAGACUCCUACGGGAGGCAGCAGUAGGGAAUCUUCCGCAAUGGGCGAAAGCCUGACGGAGCAACGCCGCGUGAGUGAUGAAGGUCUUCGGAUCGUAAAACUCUGUUAUUAGGGAAGAACAAAUGUGUAAGUAACUAUGCACGUCUUGACGGUACCUAAUCAGAAAGCCACGGCUAACUACGUG
rnacentral:rRNA from 1 species